rnacentral:rRNA from 1 species
UCGAGCGCCCAGCAAUGGGAGCGGCGCACGGGUGAGUAACACGUGGGAACGUGCCCUAUGGUUCGGAAUAACGCAGGGAAACUUGCGCUAAUACCGGAUAAGCCCUUACGGGGAAAGAUUUAUCGCCAUUGGAGCGGCCCGCGUUGGAUUAGCUAGUUGGUGGGGUAAAAGCCUACCAAGGCAACGAUCCAUAGCUGGUUUGAGAGAACGACCAGCCACACUGGGACUGAGACACGGCCCAGACUCCUACGGGAGGCAGCAGUGGGGAAUCUUGGACAAUGGGGGAAACCCUGAUCCAGCCAUGCCGCGUGAGUGAUGAAGGCCCUAGGGUUGUAAAACUCUUUCGGCGGGGACGAUAAUGACGGUACCCGCAGAAGAAGCUCCGGCUAACUUCGUGCCAGCAGCCGCGGUAAUACGAAGGGGGCUAGCGUUGUUCGGAAUUACUGGGCGUAAAGCGCGCGCAGGCGGUCCUUUAAGUCGGGGGUGAAAGCCCAGAGCUCAACUCUGGAACUGCCUUCGAAACUAGAGGACUUGGGUACGGGAGAAGUGAAGUGGAAUUCCCAGUGUAGAGGUGAAAUUCGUAGAUUUUCCGAAGAACACCAGUGGCGAAGGCGGCUCACUGGGCCGUUACCGACGCUCAGGCGCGACAGCGUGGGGAGCAAACAGGAUUAAAUACCCUGGUAGUCCACGCCGUAAACGAUGGAUGCUAGCCCUUGGUAAGCAUGCUUAUCAGUGGCGCAGCUUACGCAUUAUCAUCCCCCCCGGGGGAGUACGGCCGCCAGGUUGAAACUCC